UUCAUAGAUUAGUGAAGUCAGACAUAACCUUACGACUUACGAGUCAUGUUUAUUGUUUGUUUUGUUUAUUUGGGAGUUGUUGAAGUUAUUUUGUUUGUUUAUUUAUAGGUAAUUUCAUAAAAAUGUCAAAUACCUUAUGUGGCGUGUGCAAUAAAAAUUUUUCAAAAAGUUUCAACUAACGAAUUCAUGAGAACAGAUUUCAUCCAGAUGAGUAAACUCAACAUUACUAAACAGAGAGAAUAAAUGAAAUUUCCCCGAAAAAAAGCCUUUAAUGUUUCUGAGAUUUGUCCGAUAUGUUCAAAAAUCUUCUCGAGAUAUUCUAGCUACAAAACUCAUGUCCUAAAAUAUCAUAAUGAGGAAAGCGAGUCCCUGGAAAGGCUUCAUUGGUUAACAAGACAAAAUCUAUUUAAUAUUGAACAAAAUUACAAUUUAAAUUGGACUUCGGUUUGACAUAAAAAUGAUGCAGUAAGUGUAGCGUCAUGUAUGAAUUAUUGAAAUGGAAAA